CGUGAAUGAUGCGGGAGAUAG
rnacentral:miRNA from 1 species